rnacentral:rRNA from 1 species
UACGUAGGGGGCAAGCGUUGUCCGGAAUUAUUGGGCGUAAAGCGCGCGCAGGCGGCUAUUUAAGACUGGUGUUUAAACCUUGGGCUCAACCUGAGGUCGCACUGGAAACUGGGUGGCUUGAGUACAGAAGAGGAAAGUGGAAUUCCACGUGUAGCGGUGAAAUGCGUAGAGAUGUGGAGGAACACCAGUGGCGAAGUCGACUUUCUGGGCUGUAACUGACGCUGAGGCGCGAAAGCGUGGGGAGCGAACAGG